rnacentral:rRNA from 1 species
GUAGGGUCCAAGCGUUGUCCGGAUUUACUGGGCGUAAAGAGCGCGUAGGCGGUCUGUUAAGUGUGAAGUGAAAUCUCCAGGGCUCAACCCGGAAACUGCUUCGCAUACUGGCAGACUUGAGGAAUGCAGAGGUUUGUGGAAUUCCUGGUGUAACGGUGAAAUGUGUUGAUAUCAGGAGGAACACCCAUGGCGAAGGCAGCAAACUGGGCAUUAUCUGACGCUGAGGCGCGAAAGCGUGGGUAGCAAACAGGAUUAGAUACCCUGGUAGUCCACGCCCUAAACGAUGGAUACUAGGCGUAAGAGGUAUCGACCCCUCUUGUGCCGCAGCUAACGCAUUAAGUAUCCCGCCUGGGGAGUACGGCCGCAAGGUUG